CCUACGGGAGGCAGCAGUCGAGAAUCAUUCACAAUGGGGGAAACCCUGAUGGUGCGACGCCGCGUGGGGGAAUGAAGGUCUUCGGAUUGUAAACCCCUGUCAUGUGGGAGCAAAUUAAAAAGAUAGUACCACAAGAGGAAGAGACGACUAACUCUGUGCCAGCAGCCGCGGUAAUACAGAGGUCUCAAGCGUUGUUCGGAAUCACUGGGCGUAAAGCGUGCGUAGGCUGUUUCGUAAGUCGUGUGUGAAAGGCGCGGGCUCAACCCGCGGACGGCACAUGAUACUGCGAGACUAGAGUAAGGGAGGGGGAACCGGAAUUCUCGGUGGAGCAGUGAAAUGCGUAGAUAGCGAGAGGAACACUCGUGGCGAAGGCGGGUUCCUGGACAUUAACUGACGCUGAGGCACGAAGGCCAGGGGAGCGAAAGGGAUUAGAUACCCGGGUAGUC
rnacentral:rRNA from 1 species